rnacentral:rRNA from 1 species
CCUACGAGAGGCAGCAGUGAGGAAUAUUGGUCAAUGGGCGCGAGCCUGAACCAGCCAAGUAGCGUGAAGGAUGACUGCCCUACGGGUUGUAAACUUCUUUUAUAAAGGAAUAAAGUGAGGCACGUGUGCCUUUUUGUAUGUACUUUAUGAAUAAGGAUCGGCUAACUCCGUGCCAGCAGCCGCGGUAAUACGGAGGAUCCGAGCGUUACCCGGAUUUAUUGGGUUUAAAGGGAGCGUAGAUGGGUUGUUAAGUCAGUUGUGAAAGUUUGUGGCUCAACCGUAAAAUUGCAAUUGAUACUGGCAGUCUUGAGUACAGUUGAGGUAGGCGGAAUUCGUGGUGUAGCGGUGAAAUGCUUAGAUAUCACGAAGAACUCCGAUUGCGAAGGCAGCUUACUAAACUGCCACUGACGUUGAUGCUCGAAAGUGUGGGUAUCAAACAGGAUUAGAUACCCCAGUAGUC